UACAAUUAAACCGCACUGCGUGAAUGAGCGCGCGCACGCACUGAAGACGCCGCGUGCUCAAGGAGCCACAAUAAACAAUCUUUGCGGAAAUCCUAAACACACCUGUAGUCCUCAGCACUAUAUGAUGCGGCUUAUAACCAUCUUAACGGCCAGAAUCAGAAAAUGACAUCUAAAAAAGCAGAGUUUACUGAGAGAAGCGUCUCAUCAGAUCAUUGAUCAGCAGGGUCACAUGUGUUUGUCUGCGUUCGCCCAGGAUGCACCGAAGAGACGCGAAGCAACAGCCCAGACGCCCAUGUGAUGCAUCAUACAUACCCAACAAUUGUUUUAUUAAGCAUUUCAAGUAAUAUAUACAGCAGACGGAGCAGAUGCCUGCACAUUUGUAAUAAGCAAUGACGCCAGCUGCUUUGCAAAAGGUUUCAUUAUGCAUUUUGAGCUCGUCAAAAUGUAUUGGCGGAGAAAUAGGAAAAUCAUGAAGAGUUCUUUAACGAGAAGGGACCAGUGCAGUGGCGCUUUACUUUAUUUUCUGUGCCAUUACAGACAGUCUGUGUUGAUCAUAAUCAUUUUUGUUUUUGAGUUUCUAAUGCUUAGGCUGUCUACCUUUCAUACAACUCUAUUUUAAGAGUGACAAUGAAAGAUUCUGGAAUUUAGGUACCAGGUUUUACAUUAAGAAAAAAAUUAAAGCAUCCUUUUCAUAUGGUUUUAAAUUUUAACAUCCCACUUUUGACCCUUGCAUCAUAUUUAGCAAUAAUUUAGAA